UGUUCUAAAAUAAGUAUUAGGAGAAGGUGUUUUACUGUAACAUCCUUUUUUUUUUGUAAGUCUUUAAAAACACACCGAUCUCAGAGAUGAGAUUCCAAGACAUUCAGUCUGCUGUAACUACCAUGGAAACCACUGCUCCACUCACUGGACAGAGCAACCAGGUCCACAGACUUGUAAACAAAUCAGCAAGUGGCGAUUGCCUCUCCACCCUCAUAGAGAUUCGCUACUUGCCUUUAAUUGAAAAGAAAGAAAAAUGAGGUUGUGGGCUUCACCCCGGCUCGUCUCCCCAAGGACACAGCUGGACACACGCAGAAACCUCCUCUUUGCUCAAAAUGGAGCAUCGGAUGCCGUGUCAGACUGAGGGUGCUGAUGAACCUCCCGGGGGUUUCGUGCCAGAUUGACGUGUGGCACAGUGACAGCCCUGCACUGCAGCUCAAUGUGAAUGUGCUCACCGCCUGCUCCACUGCCUGACAUCCCUGCCUCACAGACCAAGCAUCCAGGAAACAAGGGGCUGGCUGACAGCACUGAGUGCAGCACGGCUGACUCCAGUUGUGUGGGUGGGAUGUUUUUCAAUGAGCACUUACUUUUCGCUGUCUUUAGGCAAACCAUGAGCGGAGAGCAGUGAGUUUUCCUUCUGUUCUGUGUCAGAGAAGAUGAGAUUUGAAUCACAGCCUCAUUUAGGUUGGAAAAGAUCUCUAAGUCCAACCAUUAACCUAGAGCUGCCAAGUCCAGCUUGGUGAAGUUUGCAGAAAACCAAACACACCCUUCAUUGUUUUCUGAACCUAAUUCCACUUACUUGCCAA